rnacentral:rRNA from 1 species
GACGUAGGAUGCAAGCGUUGUCCGGAAUUAUUGGGCGUAAAGAGUUCGUAGGCGGUUACUUAAGUCUGGUGUUAAAGACGGGAGCUCAACUCCCGCAUGGCAUCGGAAACUGGGUGGCUAGAGUGCGGUAGAGGUCUCGGGAAUUCCAGGUGUAGCGGUGAAAUGCGUAGAUAUCUGGAGGAACACCGGUGGCGAAAGCGCGAGACUGGGCCGUAACUGACGCUGAGGAGCGAAAGCGUGGGGAGCGAACAGG